rnacentral:misc_RNA from 1 species
AACCAUAGAAACCUGCGGAGUACCUGCGGAGGGAUCAUUACAGAGUUGCAAAACUCCCUAAACCAUUGUGAACGUUACCUAAACCGUUGCUUCGGCGGGCGGCCCGGGUCCUUCCCGGCGCCCAUCGGCCCCCGCGGGCGCCCGCCGGAGGUAAACCAAACUAUUGCAUUGUAUGGCCUCUCUGAGUCUUCUGUACUGAAUAAGUCAAAACUUUCAACAACGGAUCUCAGAUCGGAAGAG